rnacentral:rRNA from 1 species
AGCAGCCGCGGUAAUUCCAGCUCCAAUAGCGUAUAUUAAAGUUGUUGCAGUUAAAAAGCUCGUAGUUGAAUUUCGGGAUCAAUAUAUCGGUCGUGCCAUUGGUACGUACUGGUAUCAUUGGUUUCUCCUUUCUGACGAACCAUGAUGUCAUUAAUUUAGUGUUAUGGGAAGUUAGGACUGUUACUUUGAAAAAAUUAGAGUGUUUAAAGCAGGCUUUAGCUUGAAUACAUUAGCAUGGAAUAAUGAAAUAGGACGUUCGAACCUAUUUUGUUGGUUUCUAGGAUCAACGUAAUGAUUAAUAGGGAUAGUUGGGGGCAUUAGUAUUCAAUUGUCAGAGGUGAAAUUCUUGGAUUUAUUGAAGACUAACUACUGCGAAAGCAUUUUGCCAAGGAUGUUUUCAUUAAUCAAGAACGAAGUUAGGGGAUCGAAGACGAUCAGAUACCGUCGUAG